rfam:Hemileuca sp. nucleopolyhedrovirus, complete genome.
CAUUUUACAGCGCGUAUAUUAGCCGAUAUACUACACAAUGAUGUUUGCGGUGAAAUUUUAAAUGACAUUCACGCCUCAUAUACUACGAUUUCAACGAAAUAUACUACGAUUAACGACCAAUAUAACUACAAAAAUGUAAAACCGCAAUUUUAUAUUAAUGGAAACGACACGAAUAUACGAAAAAAUGGUAUUACGAUUUU